rnacentral:misc_RNA from 1 species
CAAUCAGCACGGUGAACAGUUCCAAAAGAGCCUGCUCCAAUUCUCUCUUUCAAAACAAGAUCACUCCAUGGAAUGUCCAAAUCCUCCACAUCAAGUGACAGCUCAUUACUUGUUUUACUAGAAACCAGUUGACUACCUUCAGAAAAUCUUGAAUUUUUACUAGUAUCCACUCUCUGAUCAGACAAUGAUAAAAGUGGUUGCACAUCUCUAUGCCCCAUAGUUGGGAUAUGCUUUAAAUGGAUGGGAUCUUUCAUCAUAUUUGUCGCUUGCUUAAUAUUCUGUAAAGGAUUAUAAAACUUAAAAUUUUGAGCAUUUCUAUCUUGGGCACUUGUUCGAGCAACUUUCAUUGGCAGAGGUAACUGAGAAACUUCACUGCUGUUGGUUGGGACUUGCACAAGGUUAUUUUUAUCUGCACCUGUACUCUCAAUUUGCUUAGGAUACAUAGAGAA